GAAAAUAGGAGGAGCCCUUACCUUUUGUAUAAUAGUUGCUUGCUUAUACAAAUAUGUGAUAAAUUUGAAUAAGUUAUUUUUCAUAUACACUAGUUUAAGACAUGUAUAUAGCCUUAUCACUCGGUAACCCUAAAUAGUUGAAGAAUUGUCAUUCCACAUAGUUGUUGUAUACACAGAUAAAGGUUCUACCUUGUUUUGCCAUCCCAAAUCUGACAAACUUUAACCUCAAAUUGGUAUCCACCAUCAUUUUUUGUCAUUCAUUGUCGUUGAACAAAAUCCACUAAACAUAGAGAAUUACUUUAACGAUGAUAUUAAAGAUAAAGAAUAUUAUAUAAAUGGAACAUGUAAGAAGAUAAUGACAUAUGGACA
rnacentral:lncRNA from 1 species